ACCCAUGGUUGUGAAAAACAUCUCUUCUCAUUCCAAAUAAAUCAUGGCUAAUAAAAUGAUUUAUUUAUAUAAAAUCAUUUUCACAUCUCACUAAUCAUCUUGGCAUAAUUUGAUAUG